CCAGGCCCGGUCUCCUUCCACCCGGCCCUGCUGUGCGCGCGGCAGGUGCUGACCUGGCGAGGCCGGACAGGGGACCAGGUCGGCGUGACCGUCACUGACACCUGGACAGUCCUCGUUGUGUUCGGGGUGGGAGGCCCACGGAAGACAUCAACACAGGAGACUCCCAAGACUGCUGGGGCCAAAUGUGGCAGGUGGACGUCUCCCCGCCACCGAGCAAGCCAUCAGUUCUGCAGCGGACACCAGCCGAGUGUCCUCCGACACCAUUCCGGUACCUGCAGAUAGCGUCAGAUCCCACAGGAUCUUCAGAGGGAAGGCACCAGGAGUGGACUGCAGGAGGACACAGAAGCUAGGCUGAAGCGGGAGGAAGCUGGGAACCCUGCACGGGGCCACUGUGCACUAGGACUCGUUACUGGUCCCCAAGACUCAGGGAGAAUGGGUGAAUUGAACUGGCAAGGAGGAGCCCACUGUCACUACGGGCCUCUGGAAUCCUGGCAGGAGGAGAUUAACCACCAUGGACACUCGAGGUGGCAGAGAGAGCUGCCUAGAGAAGGUGUGUGGGCAGCAGCCAGCUGAGGCAGAGCCCGGAGGGUUUGGUGCAGGAGCGUCUGUAGUGGAGGGCCAUCCCCCAGGCUCAAAUUCCUCCCAUAGGAGAUUUUAGCCCUAGGGGAGCUGUUGUAUGCGAUCUUUGCAGGGCGGUCUUGCCCAUCAGAUGGGGCCAGUCUGACCCGAGCAUGCCUUGGUCUGCUGGCCUCUCUCAGGGCCCCGGCCUGGCCACGCCUGCUUGCAGGGCAGCUCUGGGUGCCCUGGGGGCCUGCAGCAUAGCUUCUGCACUGGUGGACCAUGCCUGAUUGGUGGAGAGCUCCAGCAGGGCAGCCCCCACAUCCCUGUGCCAGCCUGCCCACUGCCUCCCACACUGCAGCUUCUCCAGGGCCCACUGUCACCCCCCAUCUUGCUUUUGCCAGUGCAUGUCUGUGCAGGUGGGUUUUGCUUUCCUUGCCCGCCAGUGUACCUGUGUGUUUGCACCCUGCCCUGCCAUUGCUGUGGCAGGAGUACCAUUUGCCCCACGCCCCCUGCUGACUGCCAUUGCAGUUGGAGCCUUGGCAGAUGCAGAGCCAGCCAGCCCCACCUCCCUUGCACCCCACUCUUGCACCAACACUGUUGCGGGAGUGAAACUAGGCACAGAACAGGGACCACCCUGCCUGUGGGGCACAAAGAAUGCCACAGGCCUGGGCCUGCCGGUGCUCCACCUCCAUCCCAACACCACCACCAGCAUGGCUGUUGCCAGCAGGGGGCCCUGCCCCACAGGUGCUUUCUUCUGCCACUGUGGUGAACACCUGCACAGAGGCA